CAAGAUAAACUGGAAUCUGGGGCUAGAAGCAUUCCCCUAGGGUCCCCACAGCCACAUUCUCCCACAAACUCCCACCUCCUCAGUCCCCAGAGUGCUUGAUUCCAGCCAUGUGGCUGCUCCUCAGGCCUUGCUGAGGUUGACGGCGGUGCAGCUGUAGCUCUUCACCAGCUCCCUGUGACAGCGGGAAACAGAUUGGAAGCACCAGGCAUCUGGUGUCAAUGGACGUGCACACAUGAACCGCUGAGGCUGGGAUCAUCUCUCCCUCUCUCUUCUCUUGUGACUCCCCCUACAAAACUGUACAUCAACAUUGAAAUUGUCCAUCUGGUCUUUCCUGGCAAUAGGCUCCUUGUGAUAACAUAUUUCAUUAACAGUGCUUGGAGAUGGCCUGUGAACCCAGGAAGCAAAGGACCCUGGCCACUGAUGGCCAGCUCAGGCCAAGCAUAAUGGGGAAUUUGGACAAAUAGACCCAGCUUCAAACACUGGCUCUGCCCCUGCUGGCUUUAUAACUUUGGGCAAAUUUGUCUCUCUCAGCUUCUAUUUUCUCAUGUGGCCUUUGUGAGGAUAUAAUAAGAAAACCUACAUAAAUCCCCAGUCUGGAGUAGGUUCUUGGUGGGAAGGAAUGAUUGUAAGGACCUCUUCCAGUUCCAACCUCAUGGGAUUCUUGUGGUGCUGAUCUCCAGGUCCCUCCUUGUUUUGCAAGACGCUGCCCUAGGCCUCUCUCCAGCCCCAGUUACAACCGGAGCAGAGAGCAUGGGGCCCCUUCUCACUAUCCAUUCCUGCUCCACUUAAGAAUCUGCAUCUCCAGAGAGAAGGACGCUGUGCAGAGCUCCACCUCCAGUCACCUGAGCACAUGGGCGCAAAUGACGUGACUUUUCUCUGUCAUGAGAAUCCAUCGGAGACUGAACUAAGUAAACUUUUAUUUCCAUAUCUCAUUCUCUUGAAGAGAACACAGUCAUAACUCCACAGAGAAUAAACAUACGCAGUCUAAUCUUUCUCCUUGCUGGGACAGUUUGUUGAAAUUGGUGAAAUGAUGCAGGCCCCGCUGAAAUGGCUUGAUAAGCGUUAUGGAGGAACUGGAAAUCCGAGAGGAAAUGGGAUUUAAAGAAUGUUCUCAACAUGACUGAAUCCAAAGAGAAGCAGAUAUUUACCCCCAUGAGGUGCAGAUCCCUUCCAAUUCCUCUGCUGUGCGCUGCCCAUCAGAAGAUAUCCCAGGCUUACGGAAGAGCUGUUGAAAUGUCCAUUAAGAAAAAUUGAUUCUGAAGUGUGACAUCAUGUCCUUGAAGACACACGAUAUCAUGACAGGACAUGAUAUAAUGUCCUGUGCAAAUAGAAAUUGCAUUGUCAGAGACCCGAUUGCUUCAGGAGGAAAGAUACGGCUAUAAAAAUAAAAUCAUAAUUUAUGAAACUG
rnacentral:lncRNA from 1 species